UACGAAGGGGGCUAGCGUUGUUCGGAAUCACUGGGCGUAAAGCGCACGUAGGCGGAUCCUUAAGUCAGGGGUGAAAUCCCGAGGCUCAACCUCGGAACUGCCUUUGAUACUGGGGAUCUUGAGUCCGGGAGAGGUGAGUGGAACUGCGAGUGUAGAGGUGAAAUUCGUAGAUAUUCGCAAGAACACCAGUGGCGAAGGCGGCUCACUGGCCCGAUACUGACGCUGAGGCACGAAAGCGUGGGGAGCAAACAGG
rnacentral:rRNA from 1 species